UACGAGGGGGGCGAGCGUUGUUCGGAAUUAUUGGGCGUAAAGGGUGCGUAGGCGGCCUGACAAGUCUGAUGUGAAAUCCCUGGGCUCAACCCAGGGCCUGCAUCGGAAACUGUCGGGCUUGAGUAUGGGAGAGGUGAGUGGAAUUCCUGGUGUAGCGGUGAAAUGCGCAGAUAUCAGGAAGAACACCCGUGGCUAAGGCGGCUCUCUAGUACGGUACUGACGCUGAGACGCGAAAGCGUGGGGAGCGAACAGG
rnacentral:rRNA from 1 species